AGUUGAUCAUGGCUCAGAACGACGCUGGCGGCAUGCCUAACACAUGCAAGUCGAACGAAGGCUUCGGCCUUAGUGGCGCACGGGUGCGUAACGCGUGGGAACCUGCCCCUCGGUUCGGAAUAACAGUUAGAAAUGACUGCUAAUACCGGAUGAUGACUUCGGUCCAAAGAUUUAUCGCCGAGGGAUGGGCCCGCGUAGGAUUAGCUAGUUGGUGGGGUAAAGGCCUACCAAGGCGACGAUCCUUAGCUGGUCUGAGAGGAUGAUCAGCCACACUGGGACUGAGACACGGCCCAGACUCCUACGGGAGGCAGCAGUGGGGAAUAUUGGACAAUGGGCGAAAGCCUGAUCCAGCAAUGCCGCGUGAGUGAUGAAGGCCUUAGGGUUGUAAAGCUCUUUUACCAGGGAUGAUAAUGACAGUACCUGGAGAAUAAGCUCCGGCUAACUCCGUG
rnacentral:rRNA from 1 species